rnacentral:rRNA from 1 species
GAUGAACGCUAGCGGCAGGCCUAAUACAUGCAAGUCGAACGGGAUUGAGGAGCUUGCUCCUCAUGAGGGUGGCGCACGGGUGCGUAACACGUAUGUAACCUACCUUAAUCAGGGGGAUAGCCUCUCGAAAGAGAGAUUAACACCGCAUAAAAUCACACUAUGGCAUCAUAGAAUGAUCAAAUAUUUAUAGGAUUAAGAUGGGCAUGCGGAACAUUAGCUAGUUGGUAAGGUAACGGCUUACCAAGGCUACGAUGUUAGGGGAUCUGAGAGGAUGGCCCCCCACACUGGUACUGAGACACGGACCAGACUCCUACGGGAGGCAGCAGUAAGGAAUAUUGGUCAAUGGACGGAAGUCUGAACCAGCCAUGCCGCGUGCAGGAAGACGGCCCUACGGGUUGUAAACUGCUUUUGUACCGGAAUAAACCUCUUUACGUGUAAGGAGCUGAAUGUACGGUAAGAAUAAGGAUCGGCUAACUCCGUGCCAGCAGCCGCGGUAAAAC